UAGCUUUGAUUUUCAAAUCGAAUUUAUUAAAGGCGAAAGUAACUCCCUUCCAGAUUUCUUAACAAGAGAAUUUUUACAGGGCCAUAAUGAGACCCACAACGCUGGGAAAGAUCUCAGCCAGACAACCAGAUCAACCUAAAAUGGCUAGACCAUUCGAUUCAUCACCAACGGCAUCAGCUCCCCUGAGGCCAUCAGUCCCAUAGAGGCCUGGAUUGAAAACAGAACUACAAUUAC
rnacentral:lncRNA from 1 species